rnacentral:rRNA from 1 species
UGGGGAAUAUUGGGCAAUGGGCGCAAGCCUGACCCAGCAACGCCGCGUGAGUGAAGAAGGUCUUCGGAUUGUAAAGCUCUGUCCUUGGGGACGAAACAAAUGACGGUACCCAAGGAGGAAGCUCCGGCUAACUACGUGCCAGCAGCCGCGGUAAUACGUAGGGAGCAAGCGUUGUCCGGAAUUACUGGGCGUAAAGGGUGCGUAGGCGGUUUGAUAAGUCAGAUGUGAAAUAUCCGGGCUUAACCUGGAGGGUGCAUUUGAAACUGUCAGACUUGAGUGCAGGAGAGGAAAGCGGAAUUCCUAGUGUAGCGGUGAAAUGCGUAGAUAUUAGGAGGAACACCAGUGGCGAAGGCGGCUUUCUGGACUGUAACUGACGCUGAGGCACGAAAGCGUGGGGAGCAAACAGG